GUCCCAGUUCGGAUUGUAGUCUGCAACCCGACUACAUGAAGCUGGAAUCGCUAGUAAUCGCAGGUCAGCAUACUGCGGUGAAUACGUUCCCGGGUCUUGUACACACCGCCCGUCACACCAUGGGAGCCGGAAAUGCCCGAAGCCAGUGACCCAACCUUAGGGAGGGAGCUGUCGAAGGUGGAGCCGGUAACUGGGGUGAAGUCGUAACAAGGUACC
rnacentral:rRNA from 1 species